CCCUCAUCUCAGAUCCCCAAUUCGCCAACCUUCACCUUCACCGAUCAUCUGCUAAAACCGCCGAUUUUACCCGCCUCCGGUUCAUGUUUUCUACCAUCAUCCUCGAUUCCGGUCGAAGAUACGCCUCAUCGUUUUCUUUUGAGCGAAGGAGAAUUUUCGGUUCGUGUGUGGAACCCCGCUACGGGGUCAAUUUCUCGGAACGAGGGGCUUUGACUUUGAGAGGAUUGAUUUUGGGUUUGGCUAUGAUUAUUUAACUCAUACCUACAAGGUGCUGAGUUUCUAUGAAAAUAACCCGACCCAUGGGUGACAAUAGUUGGAGAAGCAUUCAAGUUUCAACCCUUCCCUGGUAUUACUGAUCCGAUGCAAUGGACACAAGAUGGAGUUUACUUGAGUCACUGGUACUCUUAAUUGGGUAGCUUGUGAUGAAUUGAAGGGUCAUCAUAUAGUUUCACUUGAUUUGGGCAAGGAGACAUAUGCACACUUGUCUCUGCCUUAUCCUUCUGCUCAAGUCAUUUGUUCUGGUCAAGUUCUUGGGGUUUUGAGGGACUGCCUAUGUGUUUCUCACGAUUAUGAGCUCACUCAUUUCGUUGUUUGGCAAAUGGAAGAGUUUGGUGUUGAGAAAUCUUGGACUCAAUUGGUGAAGGUUAGUUAUCAAUAUCUUCAAAAUUCUGGUUACCCAGAAUUUUUCUCUGGGCUGAUGGCUGUGUGCAUGUCUGAAGAUGAUGAUAUCCUCAUGAUGUCAUAUCAUGAUGAGUCCCAAGCAAUUCUAUACAAUCGCAGAGAUAGUAGAUUACAACGUAUAGAAAUUACUAACAGCAUACCUCGUGGCAUGAAAGGCACGAGUUGUGGUACGAAUAACAGAGUCAAGAACUAAGAGUCAGGGGGGUGAGACGGCAAGAUUUUUUGGCCGGCUAAGUGAAGGUGGUGAGGAAUUGAAGGGUGAGUGAGGUUGUCCUUGUGUACAGUUUCAGACAGCAGAGAACUAACGGGUAAGUCAGCUAUACUGGUGUAAAACUCAUCAAGGCCUCCCAAAUCAGAUUUGGCUCCCAAUAAUUGUAUCACAGCACCUAAGGGUAAUGUAAGGAAACUUAAGAGUAAGUCCAUGAAAUCCUUACCCCCAUGAGCAUAGAUUACAUUCCCAUUAGAUUUUCUGAUGGCCAACUUGAGGUUGAUUUGAAUGUGUUGAGAUUUGGCUCAUUAUAUUUUGGGCUAAAAUCUUUAGUUUAUUAGGAUUUGAUUUAAUGUGGAUUGUAAAAGGUUUUAAGGGAU